rnacentral:rRNA from 1 species
AUUGAACGCUGGCGGCAUGCCUUACACAUGCAAGUCGAACGGUAACGGGCCUUCGGGUGCCGACGAGUGGCGAACGGGUGAGUAAUGUAUCGGAACGUACCUUUCAGUGGGGGAUAACGUAGCGAAAGUUACGCUAAUACCGCAUAUUCUGUGAGCAGGAAAGCAGGGGAUCGCAAGACCUUGCGCUGAUUGAGCGGCCGAUAUCAGAUUAGCCAGUUGGUGAGGUAAAGGCUCACCAAGGCGACGAUCUGUAGCGGGUCUGAGAGGAUGAUCCGCCACACUGGAACUGAGACACGGUCCAGACUCCUACGGGAGGCAGCAGUGGGGGAAUUUUGGACAAUGGGGGGCAACCCUGAUCCAGCCAUGCCGCGUGAGUGAAGAAGGCCUCGGUUGUAAG